UUAAUUUUUAAAAAAUUCAUUUACAUAGAAUAAUUUUUGUACCUUUUGUAUCAGGGUUAAUUAAUAUAAUUUAUAAAUUUAAUAAUCUCGAAAAAAGAAGAACAAAAUAUUUAAUUAUGCUUUUGUAGAAUAAAGAGUUAUAAUAUAUAUUUAGAAAUUAGAUGUUAAUCGAAUUAUUUUAUAUCUAUUUUUUUUAAAUAAAUUUAAUUUGUAUAUAAAAAAAUUAAAAACAUUUAUUUAAAAAUUUUUAUAUUUUUAUAUAAAAAAUUUAUGGGAUAAUCUAUAAAUUUAGAAUAUAUAAUUUUUAUUAUUUAAUAUAAAUAAU
rnacentral:misc_RNA from 1 species